rnacentral:rRNA from 1 species
AAUAGAUACCCGGGUAGUCCACGCCGUAAACGAUGGAUACUAGCUGUUCAGCGUAAGCUGAGUGGCUAAGCGAAAGUGAUAAGUAUCCCACCUGGGGAGUACGAACGCAAGUUUGAAACUCAAAGGAAUUGACGGGGGCCCGCACAAGCGGUGGAGCAUGUGGUUUAAUUCGAUGAUACGCGAGGAACCUUACCAGGGCUUAAAUGUAGAUUGACAGGUUUAGAGAUAGACUUUUCUUCGGACAAUUUACAAGGUGCUGCAUGGUUGUCGUCAGCUCGUGCCGUGAGGUGUCAGGUUAAGUCCUAUAACGAGCGCAACCCCUGUUGUUAGUUGCCAGCGAGUCAAGUCGGGAACUCUAACAAGACUGCCAGUGCAAACUGUGAGGAAGGUGGGGAUGACGUCAAAUCAUCACGGCCCUUACGUCCUGGGCUACACACGUGCUACAAUGGUAGGGACAGAGAGCAGCCACUUCGCGAGAAGGAGCGAAUCUAUAAACCCUAUCACAGUUCGGAUCGGAGUCUGC